rnacentral:ncRNA from 1 species
GGUCCAGAGUUGCGGCGGGCUGCACGAGCCCCGGGACUUCAUCGCCGCACGGCAACCGCGGUUCGAGCCUCGGUGCCCUCCCGGGAAGACCGGCCACCGCCGGAUCUCCGGCGGUCGGAAGAACUCGAC